rnacentral:rRNA from 1 species
UACGGAAGGCAGCAGUGGGGAAUAUUGCACAAUGGGCGCAAGCCUGAUGCAGCCAUGCCGCGUGUAUGAAAAAGACCUUCGGGUUGUAAAGUACUUUCAGUCGUGAGGAAGGUGUUAAGGUUAAUAACCUUAGCAAUUGACGUUAGCGACAGAAGAAGCACCGGCUAACUCCGUGCCAGCAGCCGCGGUAAUACGGAGGGUGCGAGCGUUAAUCGGAAUUACUGGGCGUAAAGGGCACGCAGGCGGUUAAUUAAGUUGGAUGUGAAAUCCCCGGGCUUAACCUGGGAAUGGCAUUCAAGACUGGUUAGCUAGAGUCUUGUAGAGGGGGUAGAAUUCCAUGUGUAGCGGUGAAAUGCGUAGAGAUGUGGAGGAAUACCGGUGGCGAAGGCGGCCCCUGGACAAAGACUGACGCUCAUGUGCGAAAGCGUGGGGAGCAAACAGGGAUUAGAUACC